UGAGCAUCUCCAUGCGCCCUCGCUGUGGUCUGGAAAGCUGGGGCAGUAUGAGACCAUCUGAUUUGAUGGCGCUGUGCCUCAUUUCUCUCCAUGACUGGACGGAGCAGAACUUCUCUCUCGCUCACCUUCCUUCCCAUGCAGUUAAAAAAUAAGUUCAUCAAGCUCCUCAGAACUGACUAUGCCUGCAAUUUCAAAAAAAUGAGUUAGAUGAGACACUGCCUCCUCUACCCCUGCUUCCCGUGGCCAUGGAUAGAGGAUUCAAUGAGCCAGGACUUAUUCCCCCCGGAAUGUGUUGGGACUUGCAAUGUGACCAUUUCCUCUGAGAUGGAUCCCUGUAUUACAGUCAGAUAUUUCCCAGCAGCUUCCCUGAGGUGUGGUGUGUCCAGUUACAGUGAAGGGAAGAAGUGAAGGCAUGGUUGCCAACCCCUGUGGUUCUCAACACUG